rnacentral:lncRNA from 1 species
CAGAAAGACAGGCAAACCACUGAUGAGCCAGUACCAGUAAACAGAAAGGAGGAAGAGCCAAGUGGAGCUGCUUGGAAGGAAGGCCCAGGUGGACACAGGAGGAAGAGGUCUACGCUGGAGGCAUUGUGUCCUGAGAAAUAUCAGAGAUAAGAAGUCCUGACAAACCAUCAUUUAUGUGCAAGCUGAUAUGUUUCAACAGCAUGGACAGACAUGAAAAGUGGGAAGAUGAAGCAGCCUUGCUGCCAGCUGCUCUGCAUUGGUCACUGCCUGCGAAAAAGGAUGGGCCCAUCAGCAGGGCUGAGCGCGGCCGUUCAUCACCCAGCACGGGCAGAGGUGGGCUUGGCAGUGACCUUGAGCACUGCACCAGCAGCACUUGGCCAAGCUGCUGAUAAUGUCCAUCCCU